rnacentral:rRNA from 1 species
AUGAACGCUGGCGGCGUGCUUAACACAUGCAAGUCGAACGGGGAACAAAUUAUUGAAGCUUCGGCAGAUCUAGCUUGUUCCUAGUGGCGGACGGGUGAGUAACGCGUGGGUAACCUGCCUCGCACUGGGGGAUAACAGUCAGAAAUGGCUGCUAAUACCGCAUAAGCGCACAGUACCGCAUGGUACAGUGUGAAAAACUCCGGUGGUGUGAGAUGGACCCGCGUUGGAUUAGCUAGUUGGCAGGGCAGCGGCCUACCAAGGCGACGAUCCAUAGCCGGCCUGAGAGGGUGAACGGCCACAUUGGGACUGAGACACGGCCCAGACUCCUACGGGAGGCAGCAGUGGGGAAUAUUGCACAAUGGGGGAAACCCUGAUGCAGCGACGCCGCGUGAAGGAAGAAGUAUCUCGGUAUGUAAACUUCUAUCAGCA